rnacentral:rRNA from 1 species
GACGAACGCUGGCGGCGUGCUUAACACAUGCAAGUCGAACGAAGUGGCGAACGGGUGAGUAACGCGUAAUCAACCUGCCCUUCAGGGGGGGACAACAGUUGGAAACGACUGCUAAUACCGCAUACUGAUGGGGGAGUUUGCGUCGGAUUAGCUAGUUGGAGGGGUAAUGGCCCACCAAGGCGAGGAUCAGUAGGCGGUCUGAGAGGAGUGACGGCCACAUUGGGACUGAUGCACGGCCCAGAAUCCUAAGGGAGGCAGCAGUGGGGAAUCUUACGCAAUGGAGGAAAGUCUGACGGAGCAAAGCCGCGUGAGUGAGGACGGCCUUCGGGGUGUAAAGCUCUGUUAAUCGGGACGCGGUACCGGAAUAGAAAGCCACGGCUAACUACGUGCCAGCAGCCGCGGUAAUAC